ensembl:lncRNA
ACCAGCGAGGGUGUAUGGGGGCCUGGGGGCGCUAACGCCCUGGGCCUGUCUGCCCAGCACGCGGUCCCUUUGCUCCCUGUGCCCCAGCAGCACAGAAACCAUGAAGCACUGGCAGGUCCCCUAUGAGGUGCCAGCCUCAUCCACCUAAACUAAGGGUGGGCGUCCAAGCAUGGCUCCUGUGCCUACCAGGAAGGUGAACUAACUACCGGAAGUGCCAUCCUGACCUGCGGCCCCAAGCCUGGACAGCGUUUCCACCAGCUGGGGGUGGGGUGGGGGUGGGGAGCAAGGAGAGACUGGGAUGGGGAGGAGAAGGAAGACAACCCUCCGGACUGGAAGUUUGAAAUCCUCUCUUUAAAACACGAACUGGCGGGCUGGACUUCUUAUAUAACACUCCUUUAGUGACUGAAGCACUUGUCACAACCACCUUGGGGACCUAGCUUCAAUGUCCCCACUUUCAGGAAGUCAAGGUAUUUGCUCAGAUAGCACGUGGCUGAGCAGCGGCAGUAAAAUCAGAAUCCCCAUUUCCACUCUUAGACCAGUGAGCCCUCCUGCACCCACGACGGAGACUGAGGAGGAGAAAAAUAACCAGCCAUGCAAAAUCCAAAAAAAAAAAAAAAAUCCUUUCAAGAUUAUGAAAUCAAAGAGCAUUUUGUUGUUUCUUGGACGUUCUUCUUACUACUCUGAGGCCGCACAAUUCAACAGACAUCUCUUUAUUGUUGUUAAAGUACUUGCUCUAUCUCCUGCCUCUGUUACUAACUUUCACACCAACCGAGAACGCAAGCGUUUACCUGGGCUCCAUCCUUGGACGGCGAACGGGUCGCGCAGGCUUCCGGCCUCCUCCUCCCUGGGGUUUGGUUCCAAGGCUCCCGCAAAAUCUCGAAAUCACCCCGGAUCGGCGCGGCCACCGAGGGAAGCAGCCCGGCUCUGAACAAGCCCAGGCAAGCCCAGGCAGAGCCCGCUUCGCGGUCCUUCCUCCUGCGCGAACCACCCGGCCCCGGGGCGAGAGACGCGUCUCUCUGGCCCCAGAUCCGUGGAGUCGUCUCUCUCCAGAGGACCGGGCGCUGGCCCUCUCCUCCACCUGAGAAGGACAAGGGAGCAGGUCCCCGGAGGCACAGAUGCGGACGCGGCGAGGCGCCGGGCAGCCCGUGAGGUGGUGAGUCCUGUGAGAUACAUACCAGUACUACCCCAUUUCCAGGUGAGAAAGCUGAGGACCAGAAAGGUAAAACUUGGCCACCAUCACGAGGGGGAGAAUGAAGUGGAACCAGGACCCAUAUUCAUUCCUUUCUGACUCCCAAGCCUCACUCCUUAAGCAGCUGCAUCUGGCCUCAAUUUGGCAAAUUGCUUAGCCUCUCCACACCUUGGUGUUCUUGUGUGUACAGACAGCAUCAGGCUCACGGUAUGGACUCAAUAUAUGUUGGUGGAAUGAAUGAACGACCCCCACACCCCUCAAGGUGGUUGUAAAGACUGUAGUAAAUGGAGUUGCUGCACACAGCAGGCACUUCAUCAGCUUACCUAAGGAACCUCUGGAGCCCUGGGUCCAAGGAAGCUAUACUUCCCUGCUCCACACUUAUGGACGUUUGGGAGCAUUUCCAGCUGAGACCUCCACCCUCACUGGUCCUUUCUUCUCCCUUUCCUUUCAGAGCCACCGAAACGCCUUGACCUGGGCGGCUGACAGAUGAAGGAGUACAUUUGGGAGACUCCAGACUCCGAAACUCCUAUGUAUCCUGGCUCCUGGCUUGCCUCUUUGGAGCAGUCCCACAGAGCUAUCUGAGAGGUUAUGUCCUGGGCUUAAGUUCUUUAAAGAUGUCCGCCAAAUAAAACAAAACUCUCAGCUCUGA